GUGAGGGGAACAUGUAGCACCAUUCCUCAGAUAUAAAUAAGACAGGGUGGAAGCUGUGAGGAGCAGGAGAUGUGAAGAGAUAAGAGGACUCAUGUGGACUCAUAUGUGGGAACAUAUGACAGGAGAAACAAGCUUAAAGAAGUGAGGAGAUGCAGCAAGGAAAACUGGGAGAAAGAACAUGGCAGAAACACAAAAGAGAACACCAGAGGACAACUGUGAAGAGGCAGAGUUUUGGAGAAAAUUAAGAAGGAAGCAGAGAGAUACAGUGGAAAGGACACUGCUGGGCUCACAGCUGGAGGCACAGUUCUGCAAGGAGUUCCAUGACAUGAAGGCAAAUUCUUCUGAAAGAACUGGAGUCAUGGAUGACCCAUGCCAUAGCAGGGACACCCCUGAGUGGACUACAGCACAUGAAGUAACACAUACCAGUAUGCAGAAGCAAAGAAUAGAAGGUAAAACUUUGAGAAGAAUGAAAGUGAACAUGGAGUAUAUUUGCCAUUUUCAAAAGUGAGGAUCUUAAUUCAUCCAUACUGUUUGAGAAGACAGCAUCAGAAAAACAGGUUAUCUAUAUAUACAAGCAAAUAUACUUCAAAAUAUGAAUAUACAGAAAUGUGUGCCAUCAGCAGCAGAAGUGAAUUAAAAUUCACAUUUGCUAAAAUUCAAUAAUUUUCUUACAUGAAUGUGAGUUUUAAAUCUGUAGAGCUGUCAGUCAAAACAAUAUAAAAACAUAGACUUAAUUUGUGAAGUCAUAGUGCAUGAAGAAUAAAUAACUUGGGGAAUUAUUUAUCA
rnacentral:lncRNA from 1 species